rnacentral:rRNA from 1 species
UAUUGCGCAAUGGGCGAAAGCCUGACGCAGCGACGCCGCGUGAGGGAUGAAGGCCUUCGGGUUGUAAACCUCUUUCGAUUGGGAAGAAACGCCUUAAGAUAAAUAGUUUUAAGGCCUGACGGUACCAGGAGAAGAAGCCACGGCUAACUCUGUGCCAGCAGCCGCGGUAAGACAGAGGUGGCAAGCGUUGUUCGGAUUUACUGGGCGUAAAGCGUACGUAGGUGGUUAAAUAAGUCUAUUGUGAAAUCCCCCCGCUUAACGGAGGAACUGCAGUAGAUACUGUCUGACUAGAGGAUGGGAGAGGAGAGUGGAAUUCCCGGUGUAGCGGGGAAAUGCGUAGAUAUCGGGAGGAACACCGGUGGCGAAGGCGGCUCUCUGGAACAUUCCUGACACUGAGUACGAAG